UACGGAGGGUGCUAGCGUUGUUCGGAAUUACUGGGCGUAAAGCGCGCGUAGGUGGUAUAUCAAGUUGGGAGUGAAAUCCCGGGGCUUAACCUCGGAAUUGCUUUCAAAACUAGUAUACUAGAGAAUGGUAGGGGAAGGCGGAAUUCCUAGUGUAGAGGUGAAAUUCGUAGAUAUUAGGAGGAACACCAGAGGCGAAGGCGGCCUUCUGGGCCAUUUCUGACGCUAAGGCGCGAAAGCGUGGGGAGCAAACAGG
rnacentral:rRNA from 1 species